rnacentral:rRNA from 1 species
GACGAACGGUGCGAACGUUUUUCGGAAUCACUGGGCUUAAAGGGCGCGUAGGCGGGCGUACAAGUCAGGGGUGAAAGCUCUCGGCCUAACCGGGGAAGUGCCCCUGAAACUGGACUUCUCGAGGAAGGUAGGGGGGAGUGGAACUUCCGGUGGAGCGGUGAAAUGCGUAGAUAUCGGAAGGAACCCCGGUGGCGAAAGCGACGCCCUGGACCGCUUCUGACGCUGAGGCGCGAAAGCCAGGGGAGCAAACGGG